GGGCGGCUAGCUCAGCGGGAGAGCGCUUGCUUCACACGCAAGAGGUCGCUGGUUCAAUCCCAGCGCCGCCCACCA
rnacentral:tRNA from 1 species